rnacentral:rRNA from 10 species
CACAUAACCAUUGAUCCGUAGAUAUCCGAAUGGGGCAACCCACCUAGUUGAAGACUAGGUACUCGAAAGAGAGCUAACCCGGAGAACUGAAACAUCUAAGUACCCGGAGGAAGAGAAAACAAUAGUGAUUCCCCUAGUAGUGGCGAGCGAACGGGGAACAGCCCAAACCGAAUUUGUUUCGGCAAGUUCGGGGUUGUAGGACCACGAUAUUUGAUGCACAAUUAAGUAGAACCAUCUGGAAAGUUGGACGAGAUAGGGUGAUAGUCCCGUAUACGAAGCGUUGUGUUAUUGAUAGUGGUAUCCUGAGUAGGGCGGGACACGUGAAAUCCUGUCUGAAGAUCGGAGGACCACCUUCGAAGGCUAAGUACUCCUUACUGACCGAUAGUGAACCAGUACCGUGAGGGAAAGGUGAAAAGCACCCCGACGAGGGGAGUGAAACAGUACCUGAAACCGAACGCCUACAAUCAGUCGGAGCCUCCUUGCGAGGUGACGGCGUACCUUUUGUAUAAUGGGUCAGCGACUUA